rnacentral:rRNA from 1 species
GUCUAUGGCCAUGCCACCCUGAACUUGCCUGAUCUUGUCUGAUCUCGGAAGCUAAGCAAGGUUGGGCCCGGUUAGUACUUGGAUGGGAGACCACUUAGGAAGACCAGGUGCUAUAGGCA